rnacentral:rRNA from 1 species
GAUGCAGCGACGCCGCGUGAGGGAUGACGGCCUUCGGGUUGUAAACCUCUUUCAGCAGGGAAGAAGCGCAAGUGACGGUACCUGCAGAAGAAGCACCGGCUAACUACGUGCCAGCAGCCGCGGUAAUACGUAGGGUGCGAGCGUUGUCCGGAAUUAUUGGGCGUAAAGAGCUCGUAGGCGGCCUGUCGCGUCGGAUGUGAAAGCCCGGGGCUUAACCCCGGGUCUGCAUUCGAUACGGGCAGGCUAGAGUGUGGUAGGGGAGAUCGGAAUUCCUGGUGUAGCGGUGAAAUGCGCAGAUAUCAGGAGGAACACCGGUGGCGAAGGCGGAUCUCUGGGCCAUUACUGACGCUGAGGAGCGAAAGCGUGGGGAGCGAACAGGAUUAGAUACCCUGGUAGUCCACGCCGUAAACGUUGGGAACUAGGUGUUGGCGACAUUCCACGUCGUCGGUGCCGCAGCUAACGCAUUAAGUUCCCCGCCUGGGGAGUACGGCCGCAAGGCUAAAACUCAAAGGAAUUGACGGGGGCCCGCACAAGCAGCGGAGCAUGUGGCUUAAUUCGACGCAACGCGAAGAACCUUACCAAGGCUUGACAUACGCCGGAAACUGGUAGAGAUAUCAGCCCCCUUG